rnacentral:sRNA from 14 species
CGUUUCUCUGUCUCACAAUGAUUCACAUGCCAAUCCACGCUACAUUCGACACUACCACCUAUGAGCUCCGACGUCUUCGCCUCCUGACUCCAAGGAAAUCCUAACUCUUCCCGAACAACCAAACUACUGUAUCUACCUCUGUACAUAUUUCUAUACAUAUAUUUUGGUUCGUAGCUGCAAAACUAGAUGAUGUUCAUACAAUGAUGCUACGAGUUCUGAAGCAACGGGUCCUUCUGGAUGUCUCAAUCUCGAUCUCAAUCUGCUUCCAUUUUACGAGAAGAGGAUAUCUCAACUUCAAACUUCACGGGUUCUCAUAAUUUGUUGAUAUUUUGUU